UACGGGGGGGCAAGCGUUGUUCGGAAUUACUGGGCGUAAAGGGCUCGUAGGCGGCCAACUAAGUCAUACGUGAAAUCCCUCGGCUUAACCGGGGAACUGCGUCUGAUACUGGAUGGCUUGAGUUCGGGAGAGGGAUGCGGAAUUCCAGGUGUAGCGGUGAAAUGCGUAGAUAUCGGAAGGAACACCAGUGGCGAAAGCGGCUUCCUGGUCCAGCACCGACGUCAGGCACGAAAGCGUGGGGAGCAAACAGG
rnacentral:rRNA from 1 species